rnacentral:tRNA from 8 species
GCGUCAUUGGUCUAGGGGUUAGGAUUCAACUCUUCCAUUGAGAUAAGUUGAGGCUCGGAUUCGAAUUCCGGAUGACGCA